rfam:Geobacteraceae bacterium GWC2_58_44 gwc2_scaffold_789, whole genome shotgun sequence.
AGUAUAAUGAUUUCAUAGAUAAGAGUUGCGGAGGGUCGCAGGAUCCUCCUUCCCCUAGCCGACUUGCCCUCCUAGUCGCUAGGGUUUUUUU